rnacentral:rRNA from 1 species
UACGUAGGGCGCAAGCGUUAUCCGGAAUUAUUGGGCGUAAAGAGCUCGUAGGCGGUUUGUCGCGUCUGCCGUGAAAGUCCGAGGCUCAACUUCGGAUCUGCGGUGGGUACGGGCAGACUAGAGUGAUGUAGGGGAGACUGGAAUUCCUGGUGUAGCGGUGAAAUGCGCAGAUAUCAGGAGGAACACCGAUGGCGAAGGCAGGUCUCUGGGCAUCUACUGACGCUGAGGAGCGAAAGCAUGGGGAGCGAAACAGG